rnacentral:rRNA from 1 species
AGUGAACGCUGGCGGUAGGCCUAACACAUGCAAGUCGAACGGCAGCACAGUAAGAGCUUGCUCUUACGGGUGGCGAGUGGCGGACGGGUGGGGAAUACAUCGGAAUCUACUUUUUCGUGGGGGAUAACGUAGGGAAACUUACGCUAAUACCGCAUACGACCUACGGGUGAAAGCAGGGGAUCUUCGGACCUUGCGCGAUUGAAUAAGCCGAUGUCGGAUUAGCUAGUUGGCGGGGUAAAGGCCCACCAAGGCGACGAUCCGUAGCUGGUCUGAGAGGAUGAUCAGCCACACUGGAACUGAGACACGGUCCAGACUCCUACGGGAGGCAGCAGUGGGGAAUAUUGGACAAUGGGCGCAAGCCUGAUCCAGCCAUACCGCGUGGGUGAAGAAGGCCUUCGGGUUGUAAAGCCCUUUUGUUGGGAAAGAAAAGCAGCAGGUUAAUACCCCGCUGUUCUGACGGUACCCAAAGAAUAAGCGCCGGCUAACUUCGUG